rnacentral:rRNA from 1 species
CGAGAGCCUGACGGAGCAACGCCGCGUGAGGGAGGAAGGCCUGUGGGUUGUAAACCUCUUUUCUCAGGGAAGAAGUUCUGACGGUACCUGAGGAAUCAGCAUCGGCUAACUCCGUGCCAGCAGCCGCGGUAAGACGGAGGAUGCAAGCGUUAUCCGGAAUUAUUGGGCGUAAAGCGUCCGUAGGCGGCCUAUAAAGUCUGCUGUCAAAGCUCACAGCUCAACUGUGAAUCGGCAGUGGAAACUCAUAGGCUAGAGAGUGGUAGGGGUAGAGGGAAUUCCUAGUGUAGCGGUGAAAUGCGUAGAUAUUAGGAAGAACACCAGUGGCGAAGGCGCUCUACUGGGCCACAACUGACGCUGAUGGACGAAAGCU